rnacentral:miRNA from 1 species
UUUUGGACCAGGCUUCAUUCC